rnacentral:rRNA from 1 species
GAUGAACGCUAGCGGCAGGCCUAAUACAUGCAAGUCGGACGGGAUUGAGAAGCUUGCUUUUCAUGAGAGUGGCGCACGGGUGCGUAACACGUAUGUAACCUACCUUAAUCAGGGGGAUAGCCUCUCGAAAGAGAGAUUAACACCGCGUAAAAUCAAUUUAUGGCAUCAUAGAAUGAUCAAAUAUUUAUAGGAUUAAGAUGGGCAUGCGGAACAUUAGCUAGUUGGUAAGGUAACGGCUUACCAAGGCUACGAUGUUUAGGGGAUCUGAGAGGAUGACCCCCCACACUGGUACUGAGACACGGACCAGACUCCUACGGGAGGCAGCAGUAAGGAAUAUUGGUCAAUGGGCGCAAGCCUGAACCAGCCAUGCCGCGUGCAGGAAGACGGCCCUACGGGUUGUAAACUGCUUUUGUACCGGAAUAACCUUUGUAUGUAUACGAAGCUGAAUGUACGGUAAGAAUAAGGAUCGGCUAACUCCGUGCCAGCCGCCGCGGUAA